rnacentral:rRNA from 1 species
GUCCACGCCGUAAACGAUGGAUGCUAGCCGUUGGAAGGCUUGCCUUUCAGUGGCGCAGCUAACGCAUUAAGCAUCCCGCCUGGGGAGUACGGUCGCAAGAUUAAAACUCAAAGGAAUUGACGGGGGCCCCGCACAAGCGGUGGAGCAUGUGGUUCAAUUCGAAGCAACGCGCAGAACCUUACCAGCCUUUGACAUCCCGGUCGCGGACACCAGAGACGGAGUCCUUCAGUUCGGCUGGACCGGAGACAGGUGCUGCAUGGCUGUCGU